rnacentral:rRNA from 1 species
GAUGAACGCUGGCGGCGUGCCUAAUACAUGCAAGUCGAACGGACGGACGCGAAUCUUGCUUUUCUGAUGUUAGCGGCGGACGGGUGAGUAACACGUGGAUAACCUACCUAUAAGACUGGUAUAACUUCGAGAAACCGGAGCUAAUACCGGAUAAUAUUUUGAACCGCAGGGUUCAAAAGUGAGAGACGGUCUUUCUGUCACUUCUAGAUGGAUCCGCGCUGCAUUGGCUAGUUGGUAAGGUAACGGCUUACCAAGGCAACGAUGCAUAGCCGAACUGAGAGGGUGAUCGGCCACACUGGAACUGAGACACGGUCCAGAGUCCUACGGGAGGCAGCAGUAGGGAAUCGUCCGCAAUGGGCGAAAGCCUGACGGAGCAACGCCGAGUGAGUGAUGAAGGUCUUCGGAUCGUAAAACUCUGUUAUUAGGGAAGAACAUAUUUGUAAGGAACUGUGCACAGCUUGACGGUACCUAAUCAGAAAGCCACGGCUAACUACGUG